rnacentral:rRNA from 1 species
AGAGUGAACGCUGGCGGCGUGCUUAACACAUGCAAGUCGAACGAGAACGGAUUUAAGCUUGCUUAAAUUGUCAGCUAAGUGGCGCACGGGUGAGUAAUAUAUAGUUAACCUGCCCUAGAGAGGGGGAUAACGUUUGGAAACGGACGCUAAUACCCUAUAUGCCUUUAAUACAUAAGUAUGCAAGGGAAAUAUUUAUGGCUCUAGGAUGGGACUGUACGGUAUCAGUUAGUUGGUGAGGUAAUGGCUCACCAAGACAAUGACACCUAACUGGUUUGAGAGGAUGAUCAGUCACACUGGAACUGAGACACGGUCCAGACUCCUACGGGAGGCAGCAGUGGGGAAUAUUGCACAAUGGACGAAAGUCUGAUGCAGCAACGCCGCGUGGAGGAUGACACAUUUCGGUGCGUAAACUCCUUUUAUAUAGGAAGAUAAUGACGGUACUAUAUGAAUAAGCACCGGCUAACUCCGUGCCAGCAGCCGCGGUAAUACGGAGGGUGCAAGCGUUACUCGGAAUCACUGGGCGUAAAGAGCGUGUAGGCGGGUUAAUAAGUUGGAAGUGAAAUCCUAUGGCUCAACCAUAGAACUGCUUUCAAAACUGUUAACCUAGAGUAUGGGAGAGGUAGAUGGAAUUUCUGGUGUAGGGGUAAAAUCCGUAGAGAUCAGAAGGAAUACCGAUUGCGAAGGCGAUCUACUGGAACAUAACUGACGCUGAGACGCGAAAGCGUGGGGAGCAAACAGGAUUAGAUACCCUGGUAGUCCACGCCCUAAACGAUGCACACUAGUUGUUGCUAUGCUAGACAUAGCAGUAAUGCAGUUAACACAUUAAGUGUGCCGCCUGGGGAGUACGGUCGCAAGAUUA